AAUCCUGGACAGGGUUGAGGGCUCCUGCCUCUGGCCCCUACCUGAGAGAAGCCCUCCCUCUUCUACUCACACUUUCCACGCCUCUCACACUCCCCUUCCUCCCACCUCAGACUUCGGAAGAAUGCAUCAAUCGUCUCUGUCGCAUCUGUGCUAUGGCGAGCGCUGGGAGGUGAACCCAGUGGGAAUCACAGGACGUGGCUUCCAUACCCCUCAUGGGUAGCAGCCCCUCACCCUUGCGCCACACAGGUGCACCCAGGAGGCGCUAAAAGACUGAACGCCUGAGUGAGAAUUCCUGUUUCUGGUUCCUGGGACUAAUGAGGCCUCACAUCGCCCAUCAAUUAAAUGGGAGCUCCUGGUCAGCCCACGUGGCUGUGCCGCCCCAGUGAGAUCAUGCAGGUAAGGGGUACUUUCGGCUACGCAAACAUACGGCCUGUGAAUGUGGGGGGUUUGGCUUUUUUGGCACUAAGGAGUGGACAUAAAAUAUGCAUUGUGUCCCCAAGGUUUGUGUGGAACUUUAUGGAAUUUUGUAGAUGGUGUCUGAAAACGCUACUGAGGGAAGAAGAUAUCUUACCCAGUUAAAGUGUAGCCUCCGUAACUGCUUUGGUUAAGAGAGGAAUGUGCACGUGGCCCAGUGUUAAGAAAAUUCCAAGUAGCUGACAAUGUUUACCAGCAAAAUACACACGUCUUAACCCAUCAGUGAUAUGUUUGAACAUGAGGAUAUAAAGAAGUGAGCCCGUGGAGGGGGGCCUGAACAGGGUGGCUGGACCCACGCUGGGGGCGGGGGAACCCAUGUAGGGAGCUGGGGAGACUCGGGCACAGCACGGGGGCCAGAUUUCAUCAUGAGGGCUUUGCAAAGGAGACUCAGCCUGAUCCACAGCUGAGGGUCCCUGAAGGGUGUGGGCAGGGUCAGAGCGCAAUCAGAUCUGGUUUUAGAAAGCCUCACUGCUUGAGCAGCGAGGAAGGGAGAUGGGCAGAGACGGUGACUUAGGAGAGGAUGCUGACAGCCCCUCGGAGCACCUACCAUGGGCAGGGGGUAGGGAUGGAUUAAACACUAAGGAGGAAAAACAGAUGUGUAGCCAAAAUUGUAAAAUUAGAUACAGCUUAGGAUAUGGAGAGAGUAAGUGAAGGAAACAAACAGAAAGGUAUUACGGGCUUGGGUGUAUCUGUUAGCACAGGGAGUCUGGAGAGACCCCAGCAUUCGGUGUAACAAGGGAAGUCAAAUCUGAGACAAGGCUGAAGGACCCACUUCGGCCUGGAACACGAGCCUGGUGGGGGAAGUGCUCUCACGUUUCCAUCCUGAAACGCUGGACACAUCAUUUCAGGUAGGGGUGAGUCCGAAACCUGAGGGCCCCAAGUCCUUGGCAGUUUUCGGAGUUUUCUGUAAGAAAGGGGAUAAUACCCAGUGCAGCACUGGGCUUUGGGGUCUGUGGCAGUGAGGGACUCUGCACUUAAUUAAGCUUUGCUGACUUCCGCAUACAUUUGCCCAUGUGUGGUGGCAGGUGGCCAGCCCUGUCCCCGUCCCCGGCCUGAGAUCGUGUCCUCGACCAAGCCCACGUAGCUCCCCUCCUGCCCGAGUUACCAUUUCCCCAGAAGUGGGCUGGUCUUCCCCUGCACUCCUUCACGGAGUCUGCCGCAGAGGUACGCAUCUCCAAGCAGUAUUUUAUUCACUUUUGUGUGUUUCUGGGCUUCCUAAACAUGGUGUCACAAGCACGUAUUACUUUGCAACUCACCUUCUUUGCACAAAGUAUUUGUGAGAUUUCAGCGUGCUGACGUAUGUGGCUGGCAUUGGUUCCUUUUCCUCAUCGUCUCCGCUUCGCACGGCACCGCGACCUGUGCUCACGUGGGCACCGUGUCCUCCGCUCACACGGUGCGGAGUUGUCAGUCCGUCCGGGCUGCUCUAACAAAAGGCCACAGACGGACAGGUUUACUGCUCACCUUCCUGCAGGCUGGAGGUCUGGAGGUGCGAGAUCAGGGGGCCUGUGGGGCCCAGGGAGGGGCAGACUUCUCUCUGUCCUCACGUGGUGGACGGUGGACGGGUCUAGGAAGCUGUCUGGGGUCUCUUAUAAGAGGGGUCUAAUCCCAUUCCUGGGGACCACACCCUCACGGCCUAAUUGCCUCCAAAGGCCCACAGGCUGCCCAGCAAGUGCUGUUGGAUCCCGUCCCAGCAGCGAAGAGCUCCCUGGCUCCAUUCGCCUUCUUUCACCAAUCUGGCAGAUGGAAACCAGUAAUCCACACCGCGCGUUCUUCAGUGAGGCCGGAAUAUUCUCAGAAUUUCAUUAGCUUGAUGUGUUCUCCUUUGUGCUGAGAACCUUCCUGGGCUUCUGCCUGCUUUGGCACUCGCUUGCUGCUUUUCGCUUGCUCACUGGCUGGCUGGGAGAGCUUAGUAUGUUCUGAAAAGUAACGCUUUCUUUGCUAUGUGUGCCGGAACGUUUUCUCAUUAGUGGCUUACUUUUUUUCUGAUUAAGUUCUUCAUCUUAAAAUCACCCUUUUCCAUCAUGGUUUCUAAUUUUGUGUCUUGCGAAAUCCUGUCCAAAAAUGUCACAAGGACCAUCUAAGUGGCAAGGUGUUAACCUACCCAAUCGGAUGCCUGUGUGGUGUGAGGCAGAGAUCCCACUCCGUCUUCCCACCUGGGUACCAGGCACCCCAGAGCUGUUGGAUGAACACGGAUCCUUCCUGGUGGAGGACCGGCUUCCACAUGUGUGGUCCAUCUGGGUCCGUGGCUGCACAGAAGCCACAUGAAGUCACUCACUGCAGCUUUCCGGUGAGAGCUGCCAUCUGGGCGGACAAGGCCUCCCUGAUGGCCUGUGAGGCUCACACUCGUCGGGUGGCCCAGCGGCCUCAUACUAGUGCAUCCAGCUCUCGGCCUUGUCUGUUCCCGAGCUGGCGGAUCGCACGUGUGUGCAGGGGACCAUCUUACACACUUUCUGGGUCUGGUCUCACCUUGGCCACCACCCCCUGCUCAGUCCCCUCCUGUCCUCCGGUUGCUAUUCCAGACCUUCACCCCCUACUCCACUCUGAGCAUUUUGACAACUGCUGGCAGACUUGGGCUGACCAGCUGGGGACACUCCAUCUUUUCCCCCCACACAGACUUCCCUGCCUGGGCUGCCGUCCUGCCUCCCUCCUUUUCUGCUCCGAAUCCAGCCCCAGGGAACUUGCUCUAUCCUUGUCCCUUUUCUUCCCUGCACUUCAGUUUCCUUGCUGGCUUCCUUUUCUAGGUCCCCAGAUUUUUUUCAUCUUCAACGGUGCAAGAAAAAUAGGAUGAAACAAGUUCAAAAUUCCAAGCAGAAACAGAAAUCCUUUCGGCAGUGUGUGUCAAGAAUUCUAGGGAACCAGGGGUGUGGGGUGACGCACCCUCCCCUCUGCCCCCGCGUGCCCCCGUACACAGCCCCCUCACCCCAUCGGCCUCAGCUGCUUCCUCCCUGCGGGGCUUUCGAGUUCCUUCUGUAGGCGGGACAGUAUCCUGAGCAUCAGACCUAAAUGUUCCGUUGCUUCCAGACCUGCCACCUGGCUGCCUCAGGUGCUCAUCAGGCUCGAUGUGGAACUUCCUAUCGUGCACCCCCUCCCCGAAUUCUUCCCGCGCUCACUCCAGGCAGACCUGAGGGCUACUCUGGACGACGCCCUCUUCACCCACUUGCUGGCAAAGUCCUGUCCUCCUUCCCCCUAAGUAUGUCUCCAGAUUGCCUGUAUAUAUACUGCAGAAAAAACAGAACCGUCAUCACCCAGAAAGGCAUUCCACACACGCUUGCUCAUUGGUCUCCACGCUCCUCAGGCAUUUAAGAGGUGUGCAUGUCCUGAAGGGCGUGGGGACACUCCAUGAUGCCAUCUGUUGUCGGGUGCCUGCACCUGCCUCUCCUUCGGUCGUCCUACCAGCUAGGAAGGUGGGAUCUGACGUGGCUGUGCCAUCUGUACAGGCCCACGCACCUGGUGAGGGACAGUCCCCCAGGUCUGCGGGCGUGGGCUCCUCCCACUGCAUACACCGUGUUCCAGCUCGCUGAGGAAGCACAGCAUGUACUAGGUUACUACAAGCCAUGCCGCGUGUGCAGCCUUUCCACAGCAAUCCUGGAGAGGGUACCUUGUGCAUCUGUGAGCUGAACUUCCUUCAGUCCUCAAAUGCUUUCACGUGUUCAAGAUUCCAAAGUAUAUGGAAGGAAGCUACUUCUGACAUCUUUUUGUUACUUUUCGCAGAUUUUAUAUAGUUACGCAACAUAAAAGCAUAAAAUACUGAACUCGUUUUCCUCAUUUACAUGGUAUAAAGCGUUUAAUAACAAAAAUCUCUUAUCGUGAAAGAUGAUGUUCACUAGAGCAGAAACACUGUCCACGAUCGAUUCAGAGAGAACGUAAAAUACAUUCCAUUUCAUGAUUUUGCCGUCUACAGGAAAAUCGCCACUUCAGUGCGUCUAAAUGCAAUUACUACCCUUACACUCACUUUUAUGAGCCAUGUGUUCUUUCCUGUCUUACUCUGCAGACUCGGGAGGAGAGUGGGGAGACCAGCCUGCGGGUGUGCGGGGUUCCACAUAUCCCCCCCAGAAGCCGCGCGUGCCUGAGUCCCGCGAUCGCCUCAGGAUCGAUUGUCUUCGAUGACAAUAGUUCUUCCAGGGAAGGACUCAAGUUCAACAAAUAUGUAUCGAAAUUCAUAUUCGCCACUUUCUGGGUUCUGAAAAACAAACAUAUUUCCAGGUGUUACUUCUCUCCCCAGCGCCUACGUCCCGCUGCAUCCGAGCCCUGAGUCCCCACACAGUCCCCGCCGUGGUCCCCACACCUCUUUCACUUCGAGAUGCACUGUUCCUUGCUUCCCAGGCUCGGAGCCCUGGAUGUAGAACUUCACACGCAUGUGUUUCAGCCCAUCCUUGACGUACUCAAUGAAACUGCCGGGAAAAUGAAAGAGCUCGGCCUGAAUGGCCUGCAUCUGGAACUCACCCGAGCUCUGCCCAUACGAGCGACCCGCGGUACCUGACGUGCUGCCUUCGCCCGCGGCGGGUCGCCUCCCCGUAGCCCUUCACCGGCUCACCAAAGACACUGAUCACCUGUGGGACACACCGGCUCUGUAAGGGCGCCUUCUUGUAAGCUUCCCAGGGAAAGUUUUUGACAAAUCAAGUCAGUUUUGAGAAAAAAAAAAAAUCAUUAAACCUGCGACCAUUUCAAAAUGACAACUCCAACGAGAA